UCCAGAGGAAGGCCACCAAGAUGAUUAGAGGGAUGGAGCGAGCACCUCUCCUAUGAGGAAAGGCUAAGAGAAUUGGAAUUGUUCAGCCUGGAAAAGAGAAGACUUCAGGGUGACCUAAUUGUGACCUCACGGUACCUGAAGGAAGCCUAGAAGAAAGACAAGGAGAGACUAUUUACAUGAGCAUGUAGUGAUAGAACAAGGGGGAAUGGCUUUAAACUAAAAGAGAGUAGGUUUAGAUCAGAUAUUAGGAAGAAAUUAUUUAUUGUGAGGGUGGUGAGGCACUGGAACAGGCUACCCAGAGAAGUUGCUGAUGUCCCAAACCUGGAAUUGUUUAAGGCUGGGUAGGAUGGGGCUCUGAGCAACCCAGUCUAGUGAGAGGUGUCCCUGCCUAUGGCAGGAGGGUUGGAACUACGUGAUUCUUUAAAGUUCCUUCCAAACCAAACCAUUCUAUGGUUCUAUGAUGCUAUUGCCAGAGCAUAAUGAAUUCAUAUCACCUCUCUGUCUGGCUUCUGGUCCUGGAGGGAGCUGUUUUUUUUACAGGACACUUUCUGCUGCACAUUGAAGACCACCAGAGGAAGGAGGCCUGAGAAAGGACAGGCUUUUUCAGCCCCAGCCUUAUUGAAGAGCUAAGAAUUGCUCAAUUGCAAUUUUAAAAUUCCUUAAGGAUGAGAAAGAUGAUGAUGAAGAAAAGAUGUUUUCGAAGUUCUGAGAAUUCAGCAAAACAAAGACUUGUACUACAUGCAAAACCAAUAAUAAAGUAUGUUCUGCACUCA